rnacentral:tRNA from 1 species
GCCACCUUAGCUCAGUUGGUAGAGCGACGCACUCGUAACGCGUAGGUCCGCAGUUCAAUCCUGCGAGGUGGCU